GACGGAGGAUGCAAGCGUUAUCCGGAAUUAUUGGGCGUAAAGCGUCCGCAGGUGGCUGUUCAAGUCUGCUGUCAAAGCGCAGAGCUUAACUCUGUACAGGCGGUGGAAACUGAAGAGCUAGAGUAUGGUAGGGGUAGAGGGAAUUCCCGGUGUAGCGGUGAAAUGCGUAGAUAUCGGGAAGAACACCAGUGGCGAAAGCGCUCUACUGGGCCAUAACUGACACUGAGGGACGAAAGCUAGGGGGGCGAAAGGG
rnacentral:rRNA from 1 species